AGAAUCCUGUAAUACGUCCUCUGAAUGUCUUUGCUAAAGAUUUCAAUGCCUCCUGAAAAGAGAAGGAAGGGAAAGAAGAAGAGAAAAUAGGUUACUUCCCCUUGACAAAUAAAAAGGCAUAAAAAAUAAAGGAACAUAGAAUCACAAUUGAAAAGAUUCCAGGGAUUUCUUAUGAAUAUUCCCAAUAGGAGGCACCUGUGGGAUCUGACUCUCCAGAAUCUUUGCUACAGGCAGGGUCUUUAAUACCAUCCAAUGGUCAACAUAGUACAGAAAGAGAAAGGGCUUGCAUUUCUAAUUCUACAUUCUUUGUCUGAAAAAGGAGACCCUAGGAGAAUUUCCCAAAGCUGCCAACUGGAAAGUUUGGGAAGAGAAGGGACACAUUUGAGAGUUUGGAAAUAAGGCUAGGUUGUACAAUCUAUCAUCAAAUACACCUUGCUAGAAGUUUAUUCCCCAGUGAUGCCUGCCAAGGGUGACCCAAAUGUUACUAAUUCUGUUUAGGUUUCCAUUUGGCCAAUCUUUUGCUAAGAUAAUGACUGUUAAGAGAGUAAAGUGUGUGAUUUGGAGUAAAUGUUGAAAGGAUGUGUAAUUAAACAGUAUGCUUGGUUGAUGAUUUUAUGCUAUCAGUCAUUCCUUUAGCUGUCCUUAAACACUAAUGAAUGAAACUAUUUUUGGAUUUUAGUUUGUGAAGUCCAAACUAAGAAUUAUUUGGCUCUCAUUCUGCUGGUUUCUAGAAGUGAUCUACAAUUAGAAAUCAGGAAAGCCUAACUUAGAGUAUAAGAAUCAAUUGAUAUAAAAGCAUAAAACGGCAGUAUUUCAGCUCAAGCUGUUUAUAUUACUCAGAAUAAAUUACCACUUGGGACUGACACCUUUUUUAACCCCUUCUAAAACACUGUAGUCACAGUAUUUUAAGAUGGACUAGCAACAUUUUCUCUGCUUUUCUCUCUCCCUUUCUCUUCUCUUUGUGUAGUAUAUUUCACUGAAUACAUAGUAGUUUCUAAGGAAGCACCUAUAGAAUUGAAUUCGAUUGGCUGUGCCAUUGCAUUAGCAGCCAGAGGGUGGGCAGAGUUUUACAUGGCAGACCUAUAUGGGGGUGAGACCCACAGGAGAGCCCAUUCUUGACAAUUUAGGAACUCUACCUGCAGCUUAAAGAAAAGCAAGUUGAGCAAUGAGGGUGUUUUUUAUGUCUUAAAAAAAUUGACCUCUUCAACAAUAGUUUUGAUUGGAAUGGUAAAAUAGCUCCUAAUUGUAGAGAAAAUAAUUUAAGAUUAAAUUUUAAAUGGCUGGUGGAUGUGAAUGUAUGUUAUGAAUACAAUCUUAAAGGUGACUGUAAAACUCAAUAAUUUGUGUGCUGUACCAAUUUUAAAAUGUUUUCUUACUGAACAGUAUCUAGUGAAUUGAACUUAAGAAUAACACAGGCAAGGAGGGAAUGAAGAGUAUUUCCCACAAUUAUGUUCUCAGAAGGAAAGAAAGAGAAAAGGAAUACGUUAAGGACCAAGGAGGGGCACCUGGUGGCUCAAUCAGUUAGGUAUAUGACUUCGGCUUAGAUCAUGAUCUCAUGGUUUGUGAGUUCAAGCCCCGUGUUGGGCUCUGUGCUGACAGCUCAGAGCCUGGAGCCUGCUUCAGAUUCUGUGUUUCCCUCUCUCUCUCUCUGCCCCUCCCCAACUCGUGCACGUGAAUGUGCACGCUCUCUCUGUCAAAAAUAAACGUUAAAAUAAUUAUUUAAAAAAGGACCAAGGAAAAGAUCUUUUAAUUGUAUUUCUCCUUGUCUAUCCUGUUGGCUUGCUAUAUAUAAAAGCACGUAUUGGGAUAGCCAAGUAAAACAUAAAACAUGACCUGAAAGUAUACGUGUAUGUUUAGUGCGUGUCUGUGCGUAUGACAACACUUUAGAGUUUUUUUGAAUAUUGAAAAGCUUUUGUAUUAUUUCUAAGUCACUAUUUAUCAAGAAAAAAAUAUAUGGUCUCAAUUAAACGAGUCCUAUUGUAUCUGGACAUCUCAUUUGCAACAUCAAAAAUUCCAAAAUGUAAUUUCCAACAUUUAAACUAUGUAUUUCCCACUGGUUCACGUGCAAGGAGCCAGACAGUUUUAGUACAGUAGUUUCUCUUAAGAAAUACUACUUAUAUUAUAAUAAAGCUCAUGCUUGCCAGUUCAUCAGACCUCUCAGGUCAUUGCCUAAUAAUGUAAAGAGACUAAAGACAGGACACUCAUAAAAGGUUGGUUGCUUACAAAACUUUAAAAUAGUUAUUCUGAAAGGAUUCUAUUUGGAUUAGAACAUUUGCCUGGCCCCAUAUAUUCUCACCAGUACACUCCUAAAUUUCCCCGAUCUUCCCUGAACCUCGGUUGGGUUGUACUGGGAGAGUGCCAAGAUCCGGCUGCCAAACAAACAGUGCUUUCCAUGAAUGUCCCUCACAACCAGGAAACAGAAAGGAGAAGCAGAAACGUUCUCCUUCUUUCAGUCCUAGGUCUGGAUUUGAUUAGGCCGCUGCCUAAUUUUUACUAGUCUCCUUUACAAGAGGGGUAGCUUUGGGCAUAAGAGUUGAUGAGUGCCGAAUUUCAUUAAAUUCCCAGAUACUUCAAAUCUUAAAUAAAUGAAAUCCAUAAAAAAAGUAUUUAUACUUUUGUUUUUCUAAUAUAUAUACAUGUACACACACACAGAGUAAGACAAUGGUAAAAAUAGCUUCUGGCAAAAAAGCCCUUGCAUUAGCUAUAAAUAUAAGGAUCCUUUCUUAAAGUACAUUAAAUAUGUGCUUUGAGCCAAGAUUCAUAGGUUCGGUUACACAUUAUAGAUCCAUUAGAUAUUUGCAGAAUAGGUCAUUCACUCUGCUAAAGGUUCCUCUAGUGUCAUUACUCAUUAAUUACUGAAGCUGUACUAUUUGUCUGAUAUAGUUAUCCUUUUUUACGCUAUUUAAUGAUGAGUUUUGUCAACCUAACUCAAAGAGAGAAGUGAUGGUAAACAAGUUCAAACUCCUCUCUGGAACAUCACCCUGUAAUCCCAUCUCUACUAGUAAGAGGAAAGGCCUGGAGAAGUAACAUGGGACUCUAAUUAAUGAGAUCAUUAGCUGCAUAUGACACAUCCUUGUAUAGUUUCCCCUUUCUUUCAAAGCCCACAGAAGACUUGUACUGAAAAGUAAAAAGGCAAGAAAGAUCCUGUUGGUGGAAACAUCUGAAUCAAGAGGCGACACUAACAUAGUCCUGGCCUAAAAAUCCAGAAAUGGGGAAAUCCAGUUCUCAGGACUACUCAGGUCCUUCAGCCAUGGAAUGCCUGGGUUUUCUAGUUUAUAAAAUGAGAUUAAUAUUUGCUGCUUUUUUGCCUCACAGAAACACACAUAUCCAGAUAAACAAUCAGCACUAGAUCUAAAAGCACCAAAACAACAAGUUGCACUUUAUUGUUUACUAAGACAAGCAUUUAACCCACGUAAUCUCAUUUAAUCUUCAGCCAACCCUAUGAGGUUGUUACAGUUAUUGUCUUCAUUUCACAUAAGAGAAAAAUGAGUCUCAGAAAGACCAUGUAGUUUGCCCAAGGUUGUGAACUUUAGUAAGUUCAGAGCCAAGAUCUGAACUUAAGGUAUUUGACCCCAAAGUCAAUGAAUGCCAUUACCACCUGCAUUUGUGAGCCAAGGAUGAACAAGCCAUGUAAAUGUGAAGUUUAUUAUUUCUACUGCAAUACUCUAGAAAAUGAUUUCAACUUGCCAGUGGAUAAAUAGAUACAUGAGAAAAACUUAUGUCCUUUCCAAGUCAACAUUUAAAAAUUUUCAGAAAUCAUGAUUUUUUUUUCAUGUGUUGGUAGAAACCAGAGGGAAAUUUAAUUAAAUAAAUUCAGAGUGUAUGUUUAAAUUUUUAACAUUUAUUUAAAUAAAGAUAAAUUUAAGGUUCAAUUAAAUGUAAUGAAAUGAAAAAUGUGUCCGGCUCAGAAUUGUCUAUGCUACAGUAUUAUUCAGUCGUAUUUGUAGAUUAUAUCAAAGCCUUCUGUGUUUGCCCCUGAAGUGAAAAAAAAAGUAAAAAAUGAAAAACAAUCGAGAAAGUUUGCCAAGGUGUGAGAGUAGGGGAAUAAAUACACUCCUCCAGCAAAUGAUGAAGGUGGUCCCUAGCUUCUGAAGCCUGACGAAAAAAAGAAAUUCUUUAGUGGAGGAGUAAAGGAUUGGCGUUGGGGUGUGAUGGUGGAGGAAGAGAAAUGGGUUAUUCAAUGCUGGUGUGUAUAGAGGGCAUAGGAGGACACUGUAUGAAAGCAGACAAUAUUCUGAGCCAUCUUGCUUUCAUUAAGCUUUGAAAUUGUGGAGCAAUUGAUAGAAGGACAGAAAGGGAGGACAUUCUAGGUUUGUCCAAGCCACAGUGGAAGGGACGUUACACACCCCAGCGGAGAGCACCGAGCAAAGGCUAUGGGGCACAGAAGCCAUUUACCGUAAAUUGAGCUCCAGCGAUGUCGCAGAGAUGUCACAUGGGUGGUCCCCAUCUAGCCCACUCCCAGCCACACCAGAGUUUAGCCAGGCAGACCGAGUUCGCCGUUUCUUUUUUUCCUGCUCCUUGCGUUUUCCAGGUUUACCCUUCUUUUUCUUGCUGGGUGUCUUCAGUGGCUGCUCUUUGUAUGUCUCCACCUUGUUGGUUUCCUGAGUUAGGUAUCUGCCUUCAUCAUCAGACCCAAAUCGGACUGGGUGGUUCUUUGUGUUGGGAGCAGGCUUGGAGUUGGGGGAAACCUCCGAGGUAGCUCUGAUUUCAGCUGUGUGGAUUUCUGCAAUCAGGUGGUGAAGGAAGAAUCGUCGUCGUAAGUCUUGGAUAGAUUUCCCCUUGUCAUGAAGGAGCUGAUGUUCAGACACAGCUCUUUUGCUUUAAGAAAAAAAUAGCAGGAAAGAAGAAAAUAAUACAAUUUUAGUUUGUUGGUAUAGACCUCAAAGACAAGAGGAAAGCCCUUUAGUUUUCUGUUUGGUCCUAUACAGAGCAUGAGCUGGAAGUGCAGCCAGCGUGUGAAGCAGGGAAAGUACAGAGUGGGAAGGGAAGUGCAGGCAGCUAGGGGGCUGCAACCCCAGAUCCCAUUUAUGCCAUUCUAGGUCUGUGACUUUGGUGAGAACACGGACAUUCUCUGGCCUCAUGGCCUCUCUCAAUUUAAAAGGAAGGGGUCAGAUUCAGAGAGUUUUAUAUUCUUCUCAACUUAAAACGUUAUGAUUCAGUUAUACUCAGCAAUGGACAGAAACCACUGGUAUUCUUUUCAGGUUUUUUAGACUUGUGUUGGGAAAAUAAAUCCAGAAGUCCUAGACUAGAAAUGAAAAGGAGGCUGAAUUUACUUGAGUACUCACCCGGACACGCAUGCAUGCGCACAAGUGCAUGCUCUCUCUUUCUCUCGCUCUCUCGUUCUCUCUCUCUCUCUCUCUCACACACACACACACACACACACACACUGCUCCCCUAUUAGGAAAAUAAUAAUUGACUCUCAAAGAACAGCAAGCUGUAGGAAUAAAGGCAAACAAAGGCUGAAGAUGAAAUGAGCAGUAAAGCCUGUCUAGGUAACGACCUAACAGACUGAAUUUUAACAUAAAAUAGAUUACAGGUGGCCAAGAACCUAUAUUUGAAAGCCAAGUGUCAGGGAGAGAAUGUCUAUUUUUCUGUAGAGUAAUGGGUGGUCUCUUUAAAAUGGGUUUCUUUGUGUUUAAAUUAAGAUCUUUCUAUUUCUUCCCCACAUUGAGUUUUUUUUUUUAUUUUUUUAUUUUUAUUUUUUUUUUAAUUUUUUUUUCAACGUUUAUUUAUUUUUGGGACAGAGAGAGACAGAGCAUGAACGGGGGAGGGGCAGAGAGAGAGGGAGACACAGAAUCGGAAACAGGCUCCAGGCUCUGAGCCAUCAGCCCAGAGCCCGACGCGGGGCUCCAACUCACGGACCGCGAGAUCGUGACCUGGCUGAAGUCGGACGCUUAACCGACUGCGCCACCCAGGCGCCCCGAGUUUUUUUUUUUAAUUUAGAAUUUCAGAGGGUAUUAUCCUUAGUACUUAAUUAAAAAAUUCACUUUUCUACUUAGCCUUCUUGUCUUAAAAAAAUCUCUAUGAACAAAUAUGAAGUGACUUUUCUGUUUAAACAACACUCUAAUGAAAAUAUAGUGGAAAAGAAUAAACUAAUUUUCCAUCAGUCCUUUUAGAUGACAUCCUGACUCUUGCUUAAAUUGUCCAGGCAUAUAUUCUUGUAUUAUCCUGUCUGUAUAUUAUUGACCAUAUGUAGGGAUCACAUACAUUAAUCAGUCAUAUCAUGCGUGCUUCAACUCUACCUCACCUUACUCCAAUUUCUACCACUGUAGAGCUCUUCAAAGUGGUUCAUUUACAAGUUUCUGAGGGUACUUCACAGGGUGAUACCCCAUAUAUUCUUACCUCUCUGACACACAAUAUCUGGAUCCCUCAUCUGCCUUCAUUUGUACAACUUCUUCAACUCCUCAGAGAAAUGUAACAAAUCAAAAUAGCAUCGUCUUCAUUUUAUAGAUGGGGAAGUUGAGGUUCAGAGAAACUAAUGACUUGCCCUUGCCCUCAAACUGAGAACAGACAGAACCAGGGAUCCAAAAACCAGGUCCUCUGAUUCUGAAACCAAAGAUUGCUUUUCAACUUCCUCAGUCCUGUCUUCUGUGGAAGAAGAAGUGUAUGUUGAGGAAAUAAGAAGCAAAGGGCAGGGAGUAAAAAAGCCUGUGGUGAGAACCAUGAUGAAGGGCAAAUGGAUAGCAAUUUAUCAGCUUCCUUGAAGAUCAACCUUACUGUUCUAACAAGUCCAUUUUCAUCACCAAAACAAAGAACUAGGAUUUCUAGAAGUUUGGAUUGCCACGGGGGGAAUGAGAGAUUUUCUAGUUCUACUGUGAGUCAAAGAAGAGUAAGACAUGAAAAUACAGGCAUUAUUUCUCUAGAUCUUAUAGCCAGAAUACCAGCUUCCUUUUAGUAUUUUAGAGUGUGGACCGGCUUUAAGGCAUGCAGCUUGUUCAAAAAAGACAUGACUUAAUGGAAAGGAAUUUAACAGGAGCCUGGUUUAAAUGAGGCAUGAAGGAGUCUCUCUUCCUUUUUGAAGGUGCCACAUGUGACUAGAUUAAAAUUCACUUACUUUAUGGCCACAGUUAGUAUUCUGGAAACUUUUAAUAAUAUACAAAUUUGAGGUUUUGGUAUAAUACAUUUAUACUCUCUAAUAACAUUUUUAAAGAAUGGGACUGAUUUAACUGCAUAUUUUAUAAGUAUUGCAGUUUAAUGAGUAUCUUUUAGCAAAAUGUCACAGUAAAAGAAGUUCUUAACCAAUGAUCACUUAUAGUAUCAGGGGCUUUUAGUUCUUUCUCAAUCCUGGCAGAUAACCACCGCAUCUGUAUUGCUCUUCAAAUGUAUAAUACAGCCCAUUCUAGCUUAACUCAAAGCCAAAACUUUUAAUGGUUGGUAUGUUCUAAUCAGGCCACCACUGUGUAUGCCCCCUCUGGCUGGCAUGUAUGUCUGUCAUCUUGGCCAGCCUGUCAACUGUGAGUCACAGUGCCUUCUUAACCCAAGCACUGCACUUUCCCAGGAUGGUUCUCAUGAGAAAAGGAGUGAUCAUUCUAUCCUUCUAUUUUAUAAAAAGCCUACAAAGAUGGCACAACUUUGUCCAGUUUAAAAUAGUAUAUCUCUUGUGGCUUACAAAGUUUCUUUCUGCCUCUUAGGAGGACUUGUUAAUCUAAACUGAGAAAACACAGAUUUUCUUAAGUGCUAAAUCUGAAAUGGAGUUAACACAAUUAACAGUUCAAAGACUUCUGCAUUUAAAAUAUUGUCAAGAAUGAAUUUCUGAUGGGGCAACUGUGCUCGAGGAUCAGGAAUAUAAUAGUAUCUUUAUCAUCAGCAAGAAAUUAGAUCCAUAGAACGUUCUAUUUAUUUUCAAAACAAGACAUGAACUGACACAAGGGUAAAUGACUAGCAUGUACAAACUAGAUACACAUAGGUGGGGAACAAUGAAUCCACAUUCAGGAGGCUUUCAAUUUGGAUAAUUCUGAAAUAUUUAAGUGGCAAAUAUGGCCUCAAUAAUAGUCUAUUACUCUGUACCUCUGCACACAUUCCACAGCACAGUGGUUCUCAUGCAUUUAUUACACACCUAACAUGGUAUGUUUAUGGUCUUCUUUGAUUAUUGUAAAAAAAAAUUGCAGAAAUAUGGGUGAAAUGCUUAACAUGGGUAACUCUAAAUUCAGCCAAAAUAUAUCUCUUCUGCUUUCAAGAAAAAUCACUCUCGGUAGUUUUCAGAGAAGAGUAAAUGUCCAAGGAGCUAUCAAGGAACACAGGGAGUAAAGGGAGGGAUAGGAUUGCCUCUCCUAACAGAAGCAGCAGCAUAGGCUUGUGCUGAUGCUCAGCUACUCAGGAAGGAGUCUGGGUUUGAGAAGAAAAGUUCUGUGGUACAUGCAAGAGGCAGGGUCCGGGCCUUAGAGUGAGGAUGACUCACCACAAGUCCCUUCCAACCCAAAUGACUCAGUCAAAAGUUAUGCUUUUCAUUAAAUGGAAUAGACCCAGUCUGGCUCCCAAGCAAAUCAGCCAAUUAUGUUUUAGGUUUCUGAAUUUGCUGGGAUUCCCUGUCUAACUUAGACACAAAUGCUGCUACCUGCCCAGAGCCAUGUUCAUCUGGACAAGAAUAUCUCGAGGCCUCACUUUGCAACUUCCAAUUUAUUCAUACUCCAGUCCCAUUAAUUAAAAUCCUUUGGACUAUGACAACUUAUAAUUGCUUCCUUUGCAGGGCUUAGGAAGUGGUAUUGUUAUAGUAGUCCCCCCGACCCCCCCCCCCCCCCCCNNNNNNNNNNNNNNNNNNNNNNNNNNCCCCCCCCACCGCCCUCCAAAAGUUAGUCCCUAGUUAGAAAAACAGCUAAAGCAGUUUCCUUAAUAUUUGGCAUGAAGAGUAAUGGGGAGUAAUACAAUUUGAUUAUAUGUUAACAUUUCUUUCAAGAAAUUAGGUUGAUUUAAUGUAAUAGUAGACUAAUGUUUUGUCUAGCACAAAAAAUUUACUGUUAUUUGGCACCAAUGCAAAAAUAAUGACUUGUUUUUUUUUUGAACUCCUUUUGGCUGCAAUAAUUUGAUGGAACAUCUUCAUCUACUGAUGAUUUCAGCCUUCAUGAAAAACCAUGGCUGUAAUUUGAUGAUCUAUUAGCCAUUAACUAUAAGAAUGUUUUGUGGUAGUUUUAUAACCAUCUGCUGAGUGUGAGUCUUUAACUACAAUAUUAUAUUUCACCCACAAACAAAACUAUAACAGAGUCUCUGGCUGGUAAAUGGUUUCUGAUGUGUAUUUUGCAAGGUGCAACAAAGAAAGAGUUAAAAAUAGCCUUUAGGACAACUUAGCACUAUUUUUAUGUCAUAACUGUGGAUUUAAUUAUGGUCCAUUUACUGUUUCUCAAAAGAGAAAACAGGUAUUUCUCAAGCAACUUUAAAGAAAAAAUUGGCUCUGUUCCAAGACAGUAUUUCUUGGCCAGUAUUUAAGCAUGCUUUUAAAAAUUCACUCCUCAUCUCUAUUAAUACAUGGAUUUUAAAUAAUUUAAAACAAGUCUCAAAAGGAGCAAAAAGUCUAAAGACAAUUUUCAGAAAUACACCAGCAAAACAUUGAUUUGAAGAAUACAAUAUAGCUUUAUCUUUAGUACAAUGUUUUACACAAUUUGCCUUAGGAGAUUCAUAAUAGAUUUUCAUUUUGGUGCCAAGGUUCAGACAUGUCUAAAGCAAUUUCAUUUAAGGAUUUUCUGCUCUAAUAGUAAUAGACCAAGGGCACAUAUAAAACAGUUGCCUUUUGUACACCGUUGGGAAUUUACAAGGAAGCACCAUGAACUUGACUGUAAAUAUUGGAUAUUGCUAUUUUUAUUGUUAGUGUAAAAGCUCCUUAAUUCCUUCUCCAGAGGCAAACUCCUCUCAGUUCUGAAACUUUAUGGUUUUCCCAUCCUGAAUACUGAGUCUGCAGGUUCAACAUCACCCAAACAUGGUAUUACACACAUUAACGUACUGCUAGGUCCAACAGAUUUGUAUUAAGAUAGUGUUACUCUACUGUUCUUCCAACUUUGCAGUCAUACAACAUGGUGAUAUUGCUCUGGUGUGCUUGGAUGUAUGAUUAUGUUAAAGUCAAAAUUAUCCUCAAAAGAACCACCAGGUGAGAAUGCCAAAACACAAGUUUUCAGUCUACAAUGCAAAUAUUUGACUGCAGAUUAAAGAGCUGUUAGCAAUAAUUCCAAGAAAAAACAAGUUUCCACACCUAAUAUUCAUUUUGGAGUCAAGCACUCCAGCGUCCCUGAACUGUAUCAAUACUAAUGUUGGAGUUGUGCCAUUGCAAAGUUGUUACUACUUUAUUAUAUAAUAUGCCUUCAUUAUGUAAUGUGGUCCAUUUUAUAUGCUUAAAAUUAUGUCAUUCAUAAUAAAGUUAGAUGUAAGGCUUUUGCAUUGCACGCACAAACUGCCACCCACAUUCAGCAUGUAAAUCAAGCGCACACAGACAUGUGUACCGUGGCUCCCUCAGCUCCUUCCGAGUUAUCAGUCUCCUGUAAUCCUCGGGGUUUCAAACCCUUCCCAGGUCCUCAAAGUAUAAACUUUUAUUUUUCACUAGAGGCAGAUCAUCUUUGUCGAAAGGAGACUCUGCGCUCCCUCUUUUGGAAACUCGUAUCAAAUUUGUCUCUUGACCGUAGCCCCUUGAGGUUCAACCAGUUCUCCCGCUGGGGUUUCAAGGACACGGUCUCAACCCCCGGCAGGUAGGUAGCCGGAUCUCCCUGCUUUUUAACUCGGGUAAGAAGCAUCAGUGACCGCUGCGAGCCCUCGGCAGCGCCCCAGCCUGGUGGCCUCUCCCCUUGGCCUUCCCAGCCCUCACCCGGCGCCCAGAGGAGGACGGGGCACUUACAGCCGGCGGCCGAGUUCCUCCACCGAGCGCCCGCAGGAGGGCACCGAGUAGCUCAGCAGGAACACCGCGACGCUCCACUGCUGAACCAGCCGCCGCAGCAUCGUAUCCUCUCGCUCGCGGGACCUGCAACAGAGUGGAAAGGGACCCGAAGUGUCAGUCCGGAAUCUCCAUCUCCCCGUACUACCACGCUCCCGCCUUAGCCUCUUCUCAAAUAAUCUCUUCAACACCAAGGGCAUCUCCCAAGUUGCAAAGAAAAAAGAAAGGAAAAGAAAAGAAAAGGAAAAAAAAAAAAAAAAAACUUUCUCUGAAGCCUCUCAGCACUUACUUAUUUAGGAACCAGCUACUGGAACUGUGCUUUUCCCAAAACCACACAGGCAAAAAGGCACCAAAAGGGAAGAAAAAGAACAACAACAACAAAUCAGAGACGUUCCUCUGAAAUAAUAACCACAAUGAAAUGGUUGUAUAUAUG
rnacentral:lncRNA from 1 species